AUGCUGGAGGCUGAGUUCAACCCAGCGCCAAGAAAAAAAUCUUGCCACUUACUCCCCUCUUCCUUGGGUGACUUGCUGGCCUCAAUUUCCUCAUCUGAUGAAAGAGGUGAGGAGCCCGGAGGGGCCCCCCUAAGCAGGUUAGCGAGGCAGUGGGCCCACAGGAGGUACCUGGAAACCAGGGCAGAGGGCCAGGUCCUAGGGCUUCUAGCUGUCCAUCACCUCCCCCCCCACGCGGAAAAUAAUAAGGAUCAUAAACACAAGCUCUGCCGUCACCCUGAGCUGCCAACUCUCUCAGGGCUAAAAGGAGUUUGUUUUGUUUGUUUGUUUCCUGGGUGCAAAGCAGCAGCCCAUGGUGGAAGCUGCAACUGUCUCAGGCGCCAUGGCCGCCGGCGCCCCAGAGGCUGGCAUCUGGGGGUGAUGGCAGAGGGCCCCCUGAGCAGCCCCUUCCCCUCCAAACAGGGACAGCUGCAGGCCCGCGACCAGCCCUGGGCCCACGAGGCCUGCUGGUUUCAAGGCAGAAAUUCCAGCGAGGGCGAAGGUGACACCUUAAUUCAGCGGGUUCCUUUGCCUCUUCCGCGCUUCUCGGUCAGCUCCACUGGAUUGGACGUGUUUUCUAGCGCGUGGGCAGAGGCGAUGUGCGCAGCUCCCCGGUGUGUCUCGUGUCUCAGCAGGCCUAGGAGCAAUGGCGUCAGCUGACCAUUGACUGAAGCUCUGAAACUGUGAGCUGGGUAAACCCCUCCUCCUCUAAGCACUGGGCUGCAGCAGUGGAGAGCGGGCUCACACAGGAUGUGACCUGAGUCCUGCAUGCAGAUGAGGAAGCAGGCUCAAUGACUCCCCGCGGUUACCAGCUCCGACCAGAGAGUGGGUCUGUGCUGCAUCACAGGAGCUGAAGAUGUGGUUAGAAGUCCAGGGCAGAAGCCACCAAAGGGUGAGUGG
rnacentral:lncRNA from 1 species